CUCUUAUCAAGAGAGGUGGAGGGAUGUGCCCGAUGAAGCCCGGCAACCGUCAGUGGAUCUGAUCCAGUGAAAUGGUGCCAAUUCACACAAAGCGUUGUGCUUUGGGAGAUGGGAG
rfam:Bacillus sp. B-jedd genome assembly, contig: CONTIG000001